UGCGUAGGUGGUCUUGUAAGUCAGAAGUGAAAGGCUACGGCUUAACCGUAGUAAGCUUUUGAAACUGCAGGACUUGAGUGCAGGAGAGGAAAGUGGAAUUCCUAGUGUAGCGGUGAAAUGUCGUAGAUAUUAGGAGGAACACCAGUGGCGAAGGCGACUUUCUGGACUGUUACUGACACUGAGGCACGAAAGCGUGGGGGGCGAACA
rnacentral:rRNA from 1 species